rnacentral:rRNA from 1 species
UUGGGCGUAAGAGCUCGUAGGCGGUUUGUCGCGUCUGCCGUGAAAGUCCGGGGCUCAACUCCGGAUCUGCGGUGGGUACGGGCAGACUAGAGUGAUGUAGGGGAGACUGGAAUUCCUGGUGUAGCGGUGAAAUGCGCAGAUAUCAGGAGGAACACCGAUGGCGAAGGCAGGUCUCUGGGCAUUAACUGACGCUGAGGAGCGAAAGCAUGGGGAGCGAACAGGAUUAGAUACCCUGGUAGUCCAUGCCGUAAACGUUGGGCACUAGGUGUGGGGGACAUUCCACGUUUUCCGCGCCGUAGCUAACGCAUUAAGUGCCCCGCCUGGGGAGUACGGCCGCAAGGCUAAAACUCAAAGGAAUUGACGGGGGCCCGCACAAGCGGCGGAGCAUGCGGAUUAAUUCGAUGCAACGCGAAGAACCUUACCAAGGCUUGACAUGAACCGGUAAGACCUGGAAACAGGUCCCCCGCUUGCGGUCGGUUUACAGGUGGUGCAUGGUUGUCGUCAGCUCGUGUCGUGAGAUGUUGGGUUAAGUCCCGCAACGAGCGCAACCCUCGUUCUAUGUUGCCAGCACGUGAUGGUGGGGACUCAUAGGAGACUGCCGGGGUCAACUCGGAGGAAGGUGGGGACGACGUCAAAUCAUCAUGCCCCUUAUGUCUUGGGCUUCACGCAUGCUACAAUGGCCGGUACAAAGGGUUGCGAUACUGUGAGGUGGAGCUAAUCCCAAAAAGCCGGUCUCAGUUCGGAUUGGGGUCUGCAACUCGACCCCAUGAAGUCGGAGUCGCUAGUAAUCGCAGAUCAGCAACGCUGCGGUGAAUACGUUCCCGGGCCUUGUACACACCGCCCGUCAAGUCACGAAAGUUGGUAACACCCGAAGCCGGUGGCCUAACCCCUUGUGGGAGGGAGCUGUCGAAGUGGGACUGGCGAUUGGGACGAAGUC